rnacentral:rRNA from 1 species
CCUACGGGAGGCAGCAGUGAGGAAUAUUGGUCAAUGGGAGAGAUCCUGAACCAGCCAAGCCGCGUGAGGGAAGACGGCCCUAUGGGUUGUAAACCUCUUUUGUCGGGGAACAAAACCCGGGACGUGUCCCGGACUGCGUGUAUCCGAAGAAAAAGCAUCGGCUAACUCCGUGCCAGCAGCCGCGGUAAUACGGAGGAUGCGAGCGUUAUCCGGCUUUAGGGGGUUUAAAGGGUGCGUAGGCGGUCCGUUAAGUCAGCGGUAAAAUUGCGGGGCUCAACCCCGUCGAGCCGUUGAAACUGGCAGACUUGAGUUGGCGAGAGGUACGCGGAAUGCGCGGUGUAGCGGUGAAAUGCAUAGAUAUCGCGCAGAACUCCGAUUGCGAAGGCAGCGUACUGGCGCCAGACUGACGCUGAGGCACGAAAGCGUGGGGAUCGAACAGGAUUAGAUACCCUUGUAGUC